rnacentral:rRNA from 1 species
UAGGGAAUCUUCGGCAAUGGACGAAAGUCUGACCGAGCAACGCCGCGUGAGUGAAGAAGGUUUUCGGAUCGUAAAACUCUGUUGUUAGAGAAGAACAAGGACGUUAGUAACUGAACGUCCCCUGACGGUAUCUAACCAGAAAGCCACGGCUAACUACGUGCCAGCAGCCGCGGUAAUACGUAGGUGGCAAGCGUUGUCCGGAUUUAUUGGGCGUAAAGCGAGCGCAGGCGGUUUCUUAAGUCUGAUGUGAAAGCCCCCGGCUCAACCGGGGAGGGUCAUUGGAAAAUGGGAGACUUGAGUGCAGAAGAGGAGAGUGGAAUUCCAUGUGUAGCGGUGAAAUGCGUAGAUAUAUGGAGGAACAUCAGUGGCGAAGGCGGCUCUCUGGUCUGUAACUGACGCUGAGGCUCGAAAGCGUGGGGAGCAAACAGG